AGUGAACGCUGGCGGUAGGCCUAACACAUGCCAGUCGAACGGCAGCACAGUAAGAGCUUGCUCUUACGGGUGGCGAGUGGCGGACGGGUGAGGAAUACAUCGGAAUCUACUUUUUCGUGGGGGAUAACGUAGGGAAACUUACGCUAAUACCGCAUACGACCUACGGGUGAAAGCAGGGGAUCUUCGGACCUUGCGCGAUUGAAUGAGCCGAUGUCGGAUUAGCUAGUUGGCGGGGUAAAGGCCCACCAAGGCGACGAUCCGUAGCUGGUCUGAGAGGAUGAUUAGCCACACUGGAACUGAGACACGGUCCAGACUCCUACGGGAGGCAGCAGUGGGGAAUAUUGGACAAUGGGCGCAAGCCUGAUCCAGCCAUACCGCGUGGGUGAAGAAGGCCUUCGGGUUGUAAAGCCCUUUUGUUGGGAAAGAAAAGCAGCAGGUUAAUACCCCGCUGUUCUGACGGUACCCAAAGAAUAAGCACCGGCUAACUUCGUG
rnacentral:rRNA from 1 species